GAGUAUACAAUGCAUAGUGCUUACAAAUUGUUGUUACAAGAUAAUAAUCGAAGAACUACAAAUAGGACUAAUUGUAACACCCUAUACCCGUCCUGAUUUAUCAAAUUCAAAUAUAAGAUGUCAAAAUACUUACAUACUUAGUAAAUUUUACAAUCUACGAAAGUCAUAUUGAAUGUACCUCUUAUUUAUUUAAAAUAUUUUUAGGACAAUAAGUUUGAAUAAAACAUUUAUCGUUUGUCACAAACUUUCAAGGGUAGUAUAAAACCUUACAACAUAAAUGAUUGAUUUAACAAACAUAUUCGUAGUGUGUAUUACUAUUUGUCAUUCGAAAAACAUAUUUCUAAGAAUGUCCCACUGUAUGCAUGAUAUUGCUCUCACCCUUGCAUAUUCCCUGCCUUGGUCCCCCCUAACGCAUUGGUUUGAUUUUCAAACUUGCAUACCAAAAGACGUAUAUAAGUUAAAAGGAACUUUGUAGGCUUUACUCAAUAUUACCUUUAAACAGUAUUGUAGUGUAACACCCCCUAACCCAAAACCGUCGUCGAAACAGGGUUACGAGGCAUUACCGGGCAUAUCAAAUAAUUUAUAAAUAAUUCUUAAAUAAAUAACGAACAUAUAUAAAAGAAUCAUAAAUUUGUAUAAAUUUAUGCUAAUUGGCUUCUUUUUUUAUUAUUUAAAAAAAUUUUCGACAGUAUUUUUACUUAAAACCCCCUGCAAACUUAAAACAAAAAACAACCCAAUACCAAUAUUUCAAUCAAUAAUUUUAUACUUAAAAUGCUAUUAAUCUUACUUAAUAAAUUGAUUCACUAUUCUAUUUAUCAUUUAAAAGAUUAUAACCAUUUACUCAUAACCAAGAUCAUUUAGCAUAUAUAUUUAUAUAUAUACAACUCGUAUUCAAUCACCUAGUACAUGCCACUUAAACAAAAGGAAGAAAUACAUCACCAAAAUUUUCUUGAAAGAGUCAGGAUCUUCCUGAAUGCUAAACUGGACCUUGAACCCUAAUGACCUGCGCAGGGAAACAACCGUACGCUGAGUAUUUCAUACACAGUGGUAUUACUAUAAUUUAAAUUAUUUAAGUAAAAUAACAAAUAAACAUGUCAAAUUAUAUAAUAAUUAAUUCAUAAAUAAACUAAUUUAUUCUUAACUUUCAUUUCUCAACAAUAACAACUCAAUUUGGCUAUUCAUCAAUUUAAUAUCAUAUAACUUUUCAUUUGAACAUAAAUCUCUUCAUAUAACUUUUCAUUUGAUUCAUUCUUUUCAUUCUCAUUUCUCAAUUUCAAUUCACUUUUCAUUUCAUGAAUAAAAUCAAUCAUUUUCAUUUGGUUUUCUUUUUUCUUUUUGUUAUUCCAUUUAUUUGCCCUAUUAACAAGACUCGGACUUUGGCGGAUACACGAAUCCAACCAAACACACCAGAAUGACACCCAGUACCUCAUCGGAUAGUUCGAAGCAAAGUUGGCACCCAGUACCUCAUCGAAUCUAUCCGAAGAAAUAUAGUGACGCUCAGUGUCUCAUCGACUCGAGAUCGAAGUAUCCCUGAACACUUCCAAUCCUAUGGCAUGCCAACUAUAUCCGACUCAGCCCGACUAGUUAAUAGGGUAUUCAAAUCAUUUUUCUUUUUCAAAUUCACUUUCGAUUCAAUCACAAUUCAAUUCAAUUUCACUUUCCACUUUUUAACCAAUACACAGUUCAGAUAAUUUCACUUCGAUUCAAUUCAUUUCAUUCACUUUUAUUCAAUGCAAUAUUUUAAUACUCACCUCAAUUUCACUUACCAAGUACUUUAAUUGAAAUUUAACAACUGAAAAUAAAUAAAUUCAAAUUAUAGUAAUACAAAUCGUAAAUCUCCCGUUUUAGUCCUCGAUAGCUUUCUCCUUUCCUUUUGAUGCCGAUGCCUCGGGUUCUUUGUUAGCUAUGAAAAUAAUAAUAAUUUACACUAUUAAUUACAGCACUAAUUAUGAUAAAUAAUUGAAUUUCUAUUCAAUUUCUUCUUUAUUCUCAAUUUGAUCCUAAGUUCACUUACUUUCCUAAUUCAAUUCACACUCUAUUUCUAUUCAAAUUUCAUCCAAGCUCAAAUUUAACUAUUAAAAUUUCAACAUAUUUUCCUAAUUUUGAAUUUCUCUCAGUUUAGUCCAUAAAACAUAAAACUUAUAGUUUUUUUUACAAUUUAAUCCUUUUAUCAAUUCUAACUUGAAAUUUAUUCAAUUAAAUCCCUAAUUCAACAAUUUAUUCAACAUGAACCAUGCUUAAAAACCUAUAAACUUCCAAAACCUCAACUUAUUUUCAACAAAACUUUGUUUUAAAGCUUCUAAAUCAUCAAAACUAAAUAAAAAGUGCUUAAUUGACUUACCAAUCAAAGCUUUAAACCUUAAACCUUUAGUUUUUCCUUUUUCUUUUCUCUUUCUUUUUCCUUCCCCUGUUUCGAAUGGUCUCUGUUUCUUCUUUUUAUCUUUUGUUCUUUAUUUCUUUUAUAAUUCAUUUACUUUAUUUUAUUUGUUAGCUUAAUUUAUUUUAUUAUUUUAUUAUUCUAAAUAUCUAUUAAAUAUUUAAUCAUAUAUUCACAUUUGUACACCAUCAAUACCAUACUUAAUUUGUCUAUCAAAUAAAAAUCUCAUAAUAUAAUUAUUUAAUUAAUAAUUAUCUUUUACUAAAUUUUCAAGUAAAUAAAUAAAUAUAAUACACUUGUAUUUUAUUAUUAUUAUUAUUAUUUUUUACCAUACACUUGGCAAAAUCAUAAUUUAUUAUUGACCAAAAAUCUUAUACUAAUUAUUUAACUAUUAAAUAUCUUUUAAUUUAACAAUAAUAAAUAAUAAAUAUCUUAUGCUUAAUUAAUAAGCAAUUUAAAUCUAUAAACUACAAUUGUAUACAUAUUUUAAUUACACAUGUAUUAUUUUAUAACCAUACAAUUGUCUUUUUUUUCUUUUCUCAUUUAUUUCUUAAUAUAAUAUUUAUAUUAUAAUUAAUUUAAUAAUAUACUUUAUAAUUAAUAUAUAUAUAUAUUUUUAAAUUAAAUCAUUAUAAAAAUCUAAGACGCCUCAAUUAGGAAAAAUGACAUAAUUGCUAUUUUAGUCCUUUAUAUUUUCUUUUAAUAUAUAAUUUAACUUUUACCCCUUAUUCAAUUUAGUCCUUUCUACUAACUACUCUUAAUUUAGCUAAAUCCACUUAUCUAAAACCUAAUUAAACACACAACUAGUCUCGUAAAGAUUUCUAAUAUUUAUUUUCAAACUCAAUUUACUAAGACAGAGGCCCGAUAAUGUAUUUUUUCGAUGCCCGUGAAUUUUGGGUCAUUACAUGUAGAAUUUCUUAACUCAAGGGUUUGGGUUCCCUCUCUGACCUUGGCGAAUACUCUUCCAAUUCUUGGUUAGCAAAAAACCAUACGCCUACCUCUCAUCUUGAAUACUUUAUAGACGACCCAUUUGACUGACGGGUUACAAUUUCACCCCAUAGACUAAAUCCUAUUUGUCUAUCCUUUUGAAGAUAUUAUUUGGAUACAUUCCCCAAGGCAAUAUUCCUAUGGGUACUACUUUUUGACUAAUCCUUCUACUGACUCUGACGGUCACCAAACAUAGUUUGUACCUAAUCUUCCAAUUGAUCCAGACAACAUACUUACUCGGAUGAAUGCAAGGUUUUGAUCACCCAAUAGCAUUCCAAGUAGCAUUGAUAUAUAGCGUGAGGAUUCGCAGGUUUGGCGAACUCUUACACUACUGUACCUCUAGAUACAACAAACUCACCAUCAUGGUGGAUUUCAGGAUGUUUCCUCAGUCAGAUACAAUGCUGAAAACAAUUGUAAAAUCUAAUUCCAAGACAUACCUAGAUUUCUUAGUAAGGGCGGUCCAACCACUCACCAUUUAGGCGUUACAAAAUUCAUCAUACAGUCUUUCUAAAUAAUAUGCCAUAAAGGCUUUUCACAAGAUUAACCACAAAAGCUUUCCAGGUAAUAAGCCACAAAGGCUUUUCACGGGAUUAACCACAAAAGAUUUUCAGAUAAUACGCCACAAAGGCUUUUUAUAAGAUUAGCCACAAAGGCUUUUCAGAGAAUUCUCGAGUUUACAGUUCCGAUAAACCUCGUGUUUACGGUCUUGAAGAUUUACAUAUUUGGCAUGCUCGCAUUUGUGUUUACUGUCUCGAAGGACCAACACAAUGGAUGCCAAUGAGCCUCACUCACAUGGUCUUACAUUGUCUCUCAAUAUUAGUUUAUUAUCAAAUGAUGCCAUGGGGACUCACCCACAUAGUCUUACAUAUAUCGUAUUCACCCGCAAGGUCAGGCCGUGAUCUGUCAGUCCAAUUUGUAAUAAAAUUACCCUACCGAAGGCAUUACAAAUAAAGUUUCUUUCCUCAUUUUCAUGUGAAACAAAUUUGUCAGUACUGGAAUCGUAUAAUAGGAAGGUAUUAGAUGGUGACCAUACUCAUACUUACAACAUUUACCUAGACUCCAUGAGUCAACUCAUCACAACAAAGACACUUAUCUAAUUCUCAGUCAUAUUUAUAACGAAAUCAUACUUAUUCACAGAAACAUCAACCAUAACAUAAUCAACAUAAAAUGACAUACAUGAUUCAGGUUCAGAGGUUUACCAGAGACCUACCUUUACUUUGACUAGGAGUUUCUGUUUUGAUUGUCUUUCCUAAUCCAAUAGCAGCAACUGCUUAAAAGAUCAUAAAAUUUCCAUUAGAAUUCCUAUUAUAGACAUUUUACUAACAUGUGAACUACAUGUGACCCCCAUGUAAGGCCUUCUUGUAACACUUUUCCCUUUUAUAAUUAUAACGUGUAAAGCUGUAAGACUUACUAGAAGGCAGAAUCAUUUACUCAUUAGACAAUAUUUUAGUCCAAUCUUAACAAAGAAGAAGAAGAGAAUGUUGAGGUUAGAAAGAAGAACCUAAACAUUAAGUAGAUAGAAAAACCAUUUGAAAUGUCCCUUUCCCAUAAAUAUACUUCGAGUCCCUCUAAUUUUCUUACCAAAUUAAGGGUAGGUACAAGAAAAUUUGGUGAAGGUUUACCUUACUGUUGGCUAGUCAUGGGGAGGGUCAAAUCAAUCUAAUUGACUCCUGUUGAUAAAUAGGCAACCAUGCUACUAGUGAUGAUUUAUUUAGUCGCUUAUUUUAGUGUAUAAGCAAUCUUUCACACAUCUUACUACUCUGCUCUCUGCUUUUUUUGCUGCAGAAUCCCAAUAACUCUAAACCAAACCUGAUACAAAAUCCAGUUGGACAUUACUCAUGCAAACCAGGCAUACCAUAUCUUGGCAGUGACUCACGUUCGAUGUGAUCUUAAAGACAAUUAAGUCUCCCACAACUUCUUCACACACUUGACAAGCUCUUAGUGCUCAAACAAAACUUUGGGGCGUACAUUUUUAUAGGCACACACUCUCUUUGGCGCAAUCUUUCUUCUUUUGGAAACAUCCUGCGACCAAAUCCUUAGAUACCACCAACGGACGAAUGCUUUAAUGCUAAUAUGCGUCAAUACUCUUAACUCGCCAUUAGGCCAACAGGGUAGCAAAUUAUGUUACCAUAGCACGUCCAACAGUUUACAUACCUACAUCACUCAUCUUUUCAGAUCCGCUGAUUUUUGGGGUGUGACACUAAUUACCUUCAUUUGACACUUUACAAAAAGUUAGGACUUUUUAUAUUUUCCCACUAAGAUAAAUAUUACAUUAUAGAGAAUUACAAAGAACUAUUUACCUACUUUUGCUAAUCUAAAUUACAGGAGACUGAUGGGAACAUUAGAAUGUCCCAGAUGUUCGAAUGGAUUUGAAACAAUAGAACAUGUGUUUCUGGAGUGUCUGAAAUCAAAGGAGAUCUGGCAGCAGUUAGGCAUUAUGUGGCCAACAAUGUUAUCAAUUAUGCAUAUCAAAGACUGGGUGAAUCAAUUUUUUAAGGACAAUUCAAAGUACCAUUAUCAAAUCUUUUAUUGUGCUUUGUGGGCUAUAUGGAUUGAGAGAAAUCAAAUAAUGCAUAAAGGUAAAAUAGAACAACAUCAGAGAAGAUAAAUUUUAUCAGGAAUUACAUGGGAAAAUUUGAUGGAAUCAAUGAAAAAAAACAAUAAAGCAAGUCGUGCAAGAAUGUGAAAGGCACCAAUUGACCGAUUUGUCAAAAUAAAUUUUGAUGCAACGUUUUGUAAGCAAAAUAACAAGUUGUACUCAGGAAUUGUCAUUAGAGAUGCUACUGGGAGGGUGUUAUUCUCAAAAAGCAUUCUGCAUGGCAACAUACCUUCAUGAUUUGUGGCUGAGGCACUGGCAUGUUUAUAGGCAGUUGAGAUGGGGCUGCAUGUCGGUCUUACGAGGGUAGAGAUAGAAGUGGAUGCCUUAACGGUGAUUCAAAAGCUGCAAACAAAGAGAAUCGAAAGGUUAGUAAUAGAUGCUCAUAUUUUAAACACUAAAGUAAUCUGUGAAUGAUACCAAGUGUGUGUCUUUAAGCACGGGCCAAGACGAGCGAAUGAAGUAGCACAUUUAUUAGCUGUAGAGGGGUUAAAAAGAAAUGAAGACUUAUCUCAUCGGUGAGGUUCCUUCUUACGUAAAAGAGGCAGCUGAUGAGGAUCUUCAAUAGUUGGGUUCGACUUCUCUGCAGAUUGACACCUAGCCGGUUAAAAUGACGAUGGACGGCAAGGCUCACUUUGGGCAAGCAAAAUGAAAAAUAGAAGAGACCCACCGGUUGUUUUCUCAGUUUCAACGGCAGUUUCGUGACCGAGGUGAAGGCAAGAUAGCAAAUAUUAGGCGAAUAUGAAGUUUUUAUUCUUCUUUCAAACGAAUUGAAAUGAACAAGAGCAAAUACACGGUGAUUUUUUCAAGAAACAAAAAAGGCAUCUAAAGGGACUUUGUUUUUUCAGAUACUUAGGGAUAAGGAAAGUCUGCUUGGGUGGUUGGAUUACCUUUUUUUUUCUUUCGUUUUUCAUUUUCAUUUCUUUAACUUUGUUUGUGUUCGGG
rnacentral:lncRNA from 1 species